UUUUCAUUUGUUUCAAUAGAAAUAGUUACACAGCAAGGACCAUCUUAUUUUUGCCAGGAGCCGACAGAGGGGGUCGUGAGGCUGUCUUCAGUGGCUAAUAUGGAGCAUACUUUGGAUUAAAAUACCUUAAGAAUGCUUUCCUCGACAACAUAGUGAUAGGUUGCACAUUUUUCUCCAAAAGUGGGCACAAGCUCUCCUUCCAGCGCAAAUCUGUCGUGGAUGAAAUUCGUCCCGGAUCGAAGAUGCUGGAGCAUGACAAAGCCCAAUGAGUCGACGG
rnacentral:lncRNA from 1 species